GACGAACGCUGGCGGCGUGCCUAAUACAUGCAAGUAGAACGCUGAAGGAGGAGCUUGCUUCUCUGGAUGAGUUGCGAACGGGUGAGUAACGCGUAGGUAACCUGCCUGGUAGCGGGGGAUAACUAUUGGAAACGAUAGCUAAUACCGCAUAAUAGUAGAUGUUGCAUGACAUUUGCUUAAAAGGUGCAAUUGCAUCACUACCAGAUGGACCUGCGUUGUAUUAGCUAGUUGGUGGGGUAACGGCUCACCAAGGCGACGAUACAUAGCCGACCUGGGAGGGUGAUCGGCCACACUGGGACUGAGACACGGCCCAGACUCCUACGGGAGGCAGCAGUAGGGAAUCUUCGGCAAUGGACGGAAGUCUGACCGAGCAACGCCGCGUGAGUGAAGAAGGGUUUCGGAUCGUAAAGCUCUGUUGUAAGAGAAGAACGAGUGUGAGAGUGGAAAGUUCACACUGUGACGGUAUCUUACCAGAAAGGGACGGCUAACUACGUG
rnacentral:rRNA from 1 species